UCAUUGGGUUUAAAGGGUCCGUAGGCGGGCCUGUAAGUCAGGGGUGAAAGUUUGUGGCUCAACCAUAAAAUUGCCUUUGAUACUGCAGGUCUUGAGUCAUGGUGGGGUCGCCGGAACAUGUGGUGUAGCGGUGAAAUGCAUAGAUAUCACAUAGAACACCGAUCGCGAAGGCAGGUGGCCAACCAUGUACUGACGCUGAUGGACGAAAGCGUGGGUAGCGAACGGGAUUAGAUACCCCGGUAGUCCACGCCGUAAACGAUGGAUACUAGCUGUGGGGACUUCGGUCUCCGUGGCCAAGCGAAAGUGAUAAGUAUCCCACCUGGGGAGUACGUUCGCAAGAAUGAAGCUCAAAGGAAUUGACGGGGGCCCGCACAAGCGGUGGAGCAUGUGGUUUAAUUCGAUGAUACGCGAGGAACCUUACCAGGGCUUAAAUGCAGGCUGCAUGGGGUAGAGAUACCCCUUUCUUCGGACCGCCUGCAAGGUGCUGCAUGGUUGUCGUCAGCUCGUGCCGUGAGGUGUCAGGUUAAGUCCUAUAACGAGCGCAACCCCUACCGUUAGUUGCCAGCAUGUCAAGAUGGGGACUCUAACGGGACUGCCGGUGCAAACCGUGAGGAAGGUGGGGACGACGUCAAAUCAUCACGGCCCUUACGUCCUGGGCUACACACGUGCUACAAUGGCCGGUACAGAGGGAAGCCACCCCGCAAGGGGGCGCGGAUCUACAAAACCGGUCACAGUUCGGAUCGGGGUCUGCAACUCGACCCCGUGAAGCUGGAAUCGCUAGUAAUCGGAUAUCAGCCAUGAUCCGGUGAAUACGUUCCCGGGCCUUGUACACACCGCCCGUCAAGCCAUGGAAGCCGGGAGUGCCUGAAGUCCGUCACCGCAAGGAGCGGCCUAGGGCAAAAUCGGUAAACUAGGGCUAAGUCGUA
rnacentral:rRNA from 1 species